rnacentral:rRNA from 1 species
CAGGACGAACGCUGGCGGCGUGCCUAAUACAUGCAAGUCGAGCGGACAGAAGGGAGCUUGCUCCCGGACGUUAGCGGCGGACGGGUGAGUAACACGUGGGCAACCUGCCCCUUAGACUGGGAUAACUCCGGGAAACCGGAGCUAAUACCGGAUAAUCCCUUUCUCCACCUGGAGAGAGGGUGAAAGAUGGCUUCGGCUAUCACUAGGGGAUGGGCCCGCGGCGCAUUAGCUAGUUGGUAAGGUAACGGCUUACCAAGGCAACGAUGCGUAGCCGACCUGAGAGGGUGAUCGGCCACACUGGGACUGAGACACGGCCCAGACUCCUACGGGAGGCAGCAGUAGGGAAUCUUCCGCAAUGGACGAAAGUCUGACGGAGCAACGCCGCCGUGAGUGAGGAAGGCCUUCGGGUCGUAAAGCUCUGUUGUGAGGGAAGAAGCGGUACCGUUCGAAUAGGGCGGUACCUUGACGGUACCUCACCAGAAAGCCACGGCUAACUACGUGCCAGCCGCGGC